UACGUAGGGGGCAAGCGUUGUCCGGAUCUAUUGGGCGUAAAGAGCGUGUAGGCGGCUAUACAGGUCCGCUGUGAAAACUCGAGGCUCAACCUCGAGACGUCGGUGGAAACCGUAUGGCUAGAGUCCGGAAGAGGAGAGUGGAAUUCCUGGUGUAGCGGUGAAAUGCGCAGAUAUCAGGAAGAACACCCGUGGCGAAGGCGGCUCUCUGGGACGGUACUGACGCUGAGACGCGAAAGCGUGGGGAGCGAACAGG
rnacentral:rRNA from 1 species